rnacentral:misc_RNA from 1 species
CUCCCACCCGUGACUAUUGUACCUUGUUGCUUCGGCGGGCCCGCCAGCGUUGCUGGCCGCCGGGGGGCGUCUCGCCCCCGGGCCCGUGCCCGCCGGAGACCCCAACAUGAACCCUGUUCUGAAAGCUUGCAGUCUGAGUGUGAUUCUUUGCAAUCAGUUAAAACUUUCAACAAUGGAUCUCUUGGUUCCGGCAUCGAUGAAGAACGCAGCGAAAUGCGAUAACUAAUGUGAAUUGCAGAAUUCAGUGAAUCAUCGAGUCUUUGAACGCACAUUGCGCCCCCUGGUAUUCCGGGGGGCAUGCCUGUCCGAGCGUCAUUGCUGCCCUCAAGCCCGGCUUGUGUGUUGGGCCCUCGUCCCCCGGCUCCCGGGGGACGGGCCCGAAAGGCAGCGGCGGCACCGCGUCCGGUCCUCGAGCGUAUGGGGCUUCGUCUUCCGCUCUGUAGGCCCGGCCGGCGCCCGCCGACGCAUUUUUUUGCAACUUGUUUUUUCCAGGUGACCUCGGAUCAGGUAGGGAUACCCGCUGAACUUAAGCAUAUCAAUAAGCGGA